UACGUAGGUGGCAAGCGUUGUCCGGAAUUACUGGGCGUAAAGGGCGCGUAGGCGGACCCUUAAGUCAGGUGUGAAAUCUUUCGGCUCAACCGGGAGUUUGCAUUUGAUACUGGGGGACUUGAGUGCAGGAGAGGACAGUGGAAUUCCUGGUGUAGCGGUGGAAUGCGUAGAUAUUAGGAGGAACACCAGUGGCGAAGGCGGUUGUCUGGACUGUAACUGACGCUGAGCCGCGAAAGCGUGGGGAGCAAACAGG
rnacentral:rRNA from 1 species